AUUGAACGCUGGCGGCAUGCCUUACACAUGCAAGUCGAACGGUAACGGGCCUUCGGGUGCCGACGAGUGGCGCACGGGUGAGUAAUACAUCGGAACGUGCCCGAUCGUGGGGGAUAAUGAGGCGAAAGCUUUGCUAAUACCGCAUACGAUCUACGGAUGAAAGCAGGGGACCGCAAGGCCUUGCGCGGACGGAGCGGCCGAUGGCAGAUUAGGUAGUUGGUGGGAUAAAAGCUUACCAAGCCGACGAUCUGUAGCUGGUCUGAGAGGAUGAUCAGCCACACUGGGACUGAGACACGGCCCAGACUCCUACGGGAGGCAGCAGUGGGGAAUUUUGGACAAUGGGCGCAAGCCUGAUCCAGCCAUGCCGCGUGCAGGAUGAAGGCCUUCGGGUUGUAAACUGCUUUUGUACGGAACGAAAAGCCUUCUUUUAAUACAGGAGGGUCAUGACGGUACCGUAAGAAUAAGCACCGGCUAACUACGUG
rnacentral:rRNA from 1 species